CGUGGACCUGCCAUUGUGUGCUCGCCAAACCCAGGGUGGGCUGCCAUCCAGUUUUGGCCAGGUGGCUUGACCAGAAGUUGGCUGCUGGUCUUCUGGGGGAGAUUUUGUUUUCCUUUAAGAGAGAGCUCCAGGAGGAGACAGCAGAUAGACCUCACAGCCUCUCCUUCCUCUGAACUGUGUGGUAUAGGGGGCAACGCCUGGCUGUUGCAGCCCUGACUCCCGGACGCUCCCAUCUGAGCAAGGGGGGAGGGUGGGAAAAACCUGCCUUGACGGGGCCACCGACAGCACCGUGGCCACUCUGCCUCUGCACUUGCCACAGGAGGAAGCCUUCCCUGGUCCAACUGGAAACCCAACUCAGGUAGCCCCUCGCACCCGCUGCCAGGCAGCUGUCCCAUGCCACCCCUCGUGGUCUGUGGCUCAGGUUCUGGGCUUCUGUCCUGGCUUGCUUACCUGGCAGGAUGCCAGCUCAGUCACCAUCUCCCCACUUGCCUGACCUUCUCCCCCUCCCGCUCCUGAGUGCGCCCUGUGUUGCCGUGUGGCUGUGUCUGCACCUGUCUUGUCUUUGUCAGUAUUCACGUUUGAAUUGGUCGCACUGCCCAGCACACAGUCUGGGUGAGGCUCAGUGCAGUCAGUGAGCGGUAACUCGUUCUUGUGUAAUGAACACAUGAAGCGGGGUGGAUGCCUGCCAGACACCAGGGUUCAGCCUGGAAGGGGAUUUGAAGAGACGUGUGAGUCCCCAGGAGUGGCUCAGAGUCAGACACAACUACAGGCCCCUGGAGAGGACGACUCCUCACGUUAACCUCUGCUCUGCCUACACGUCUUCACUUCUGACACCAGACUUGGGGUUUUUUGCCCCCACAUCAAGAAAUUCUAUGCUUCUCAGUGGACACAGACUGGGCAUCCUGCACUGAUCCUGACACUCUGCCUGGAGGCAGCAUCAGAGCCCCCAGCUUCAGGGCUCAGUCCUGCGAGGGUACCUCUACCACAGACAGCAGCUGCAGGUCCGGCUGUCAUUGUGCCUCUGACCCACCCGGGCUGUAAAUCGGAGCUUCCCAUGAACCCCUCCUCGGGUCUGUUCGUUUGCUAGAAUGGCUCACAGAACUCAGGAAAACAGUUUGGUUACUGGAUUUCUGUUUUAUCAUAAAACGAUACUACUCGGGAACAGCCAGAUGGAGGACUGCUCAGGGCAAGGCGUGGAGAGGGGCACAGAGCUUCCAUGCCCCUUAGAGGAGCCCCACCCUCCCAGCACUUCCACCUGUUUGCCAACCUAGAAGCCCUCUGAACCCUGUCCCUGGGAUUUUUACGAAGCCUACAUUGUGUAGGUGUGAUUGGUUAAAUCACUGGCCUUUGGUGACUAAGUCACUCUCCCAUCCCUCUCCUCUGCUGGAGGUCUGGGAGUGGGGCCGGAAGCUCCAACCUCGAAUCACAAGGACGGUUCCUCUGGCAACCAGCCCCAAUCGUGUUGUUAUCUAGAGGCUUUCCAAACGCCACCUCAUUAGCAUAAACUCG
rnacentral:lncRNA from 1 species